AACGAACGCUGGCGGCAGGCCUAACACAUGCAAGUCGAGCGCACAUUCGGGGGUGCGGCGGACGGGUGAGUAUCGCCUGGGAAUAUGCCCUUCUCUACGGAAUAUCCUCGGGAAACUGAGAUUAAUUCCGUAUACGCGAUGUGGGGGAAAGUUUUAUCGGGGAAGGAAUAGUGCGCGUUGGAUUGGGUAGUUUGUGGGGUAAUGGCGUACCAGGCCGACGGUCCAUAGCUGUUGUGAGAGGAUGAGCAGCCACACUGGGGCUGAGACACGGCACAGACUCCUACGAGAGGCAGCAGUGGGGAAUCUUGGACAAGGGGGGCAGCCCUGAUGUUGCCAGGCCGCGUGAGUGAUGAAGGCCUUAAGGUUGUAAAGCUCAUUCAGCUGGGAAGAUAGUGACGGUACCGGCAGAAGAAGCCCCGGCUAACUCCGUG
rnacentral:rRNA from 1 species